rnacentral:rRNA from 1 species
UACGUAGGGCGCAAGCGUUAUCCGGAAUUAUUGGGCGUAAAGAGCUCGUAGGCGGUUUGUCGCGUCUGCUGUGAAAACUCGAGGCUCAACCUCGGGCUUGCAGUGGGUACGGGCAGACUAGAGUGCGGUAGGGGAGACUGGAAUUCCUGGUGUAGCGGUGGAAUGCGCAGAUAUCAGGAGGAACACCGAUGGCGAAGGCAGGUCUCUGGGCCGCAACUGACGCUGGAGGGAGCGGAAAGCAUGGGGAGCGAACAGG